GUGUAAUACCCUCCUAUCUUGGUGUCAAUCUAGUAAUUGCUGAAAAGGGGCUUUUCAAUCUGAUCCUUUUCUUCAUCGCUAACUUGUUUCUUCUCCUCAGGUGAAUCUUCACACAUAUGGCUAAAUUGUUGUUGCAAUUUUAAGGUUCUGUUGGCUUCAUUUAAUUGUGUUCUUUUGUGCCUUCUUCACGUGCUGUUGAGAACUGGGAUAAGAACACAAAAAGGCACAUAGUUUUGCCAUCCUCUGCUUCUACAUCUCUCUUUGUUAGUGUAAAUCUAAAAAAUGUAAAUCAAUUGAGGUAGCAACAUCGUUAAUCUUCGAUUUUGUUACUGUGUUCUUCUUCUUCACUCAGUUUAUUGGAAGUUGUACGGUUUGUUGUUGCUGCCGGCGUUGUAUCGGAAGUUGUACGGUUUGUUGUUGCUGCCGGCGUUGUAUCGGAAGUUGUAGGGUUUGCUGUUGCUGCCGGCGUUGUAUCGGAAGUUGUACGAUUUGUUGUUGCUGCCGGCGUUGUUAAACUUCGAUGAGAAAAAGAUUGUCGAAGAAGCUUGUACCAAUUUUGUACCAAACUUGCUGUGUGAAUAUCUUUACAAUAUAUCUGAAGACUUCACUGAAUUCUAUACCAACUGUCAGGUAGUUGGCUCGGCCGUGGAAGCAAGCAAACUCUUACUGUAUGAGGCAACAACUACUGUCAUAGGAAGUGUUUCCAUCUGUUGGGUAUCAUUCCUGUUUAUAAAAUUUAACCUCCAUAUUAGUUAGUUGUUUCUGUACUGUUCUUUUUUCCUUCAUUGAGUUAGUACUGAGAUGAAAUGUAUUUGAACAGAGCAAGCUUAUUACAGAAUUUUAUCGUAUUUGAUUUUCACUCAUUAUAAGUUUCAAAAAUGUUUGGACAGCAUGAAGCCACAUAUAUAUAGCCAUGUUCCUAUAUUUUCUUGAAAUUAGCACUUCGUUUCUUGAAGUUAGUAGGUAGUCGAGCGUUUUUGUCGUUCCUUCCUAAUAUUAGGAUAAAAUCUGUCUGUUUUAUACAUGUACCCAAUGACCGUCCAUUUGGGAUAUUGAGUUGAAAAAGUGUGCGUUUUGACUUCGGACUCCUCAAUUGACAAGUAAAUGUUUCAACUUUUAAGUAUACACAUCCAAAUACCUUAACUCACCUCCGCUAGAUCAAUUGAACACACCAACUUAAAAAAUGAUCAUCUAGAUCUCUCUAAAACGUUAGUGUGUCACAUGAACAUUAGGUGUUUGAGCGACACGGCGUAGACGAGUUGGAGUGCGUAAUUUGCAGUUGAGACUAAAUUAAGAUUUCUAAACGGGCAUGCUCAUAGUUUCCCUUCUAAAUCUGGAUAAUCAUACUACUUAUUGAUAGUGAUUGUUUCGUUUAAGUAUGCUUUAUCAUGGUUGCUUUGGCAAUUUUGUCUUGGCUUUCAUUGUUUUCUUUUUUGAAUCGCUUUGUAAUGCUUUUGCUUGAGCUGAGGGUCUAUCACAAACCACCUCUCUACCUUGUAGGACACACCACCUUCCCUAGGCCCCACUUGUGAGAUUACACUGGGUAUGUUGUUGUUUCUGUAGUCUGGACAAGAGAGAGGAAAAGUAGAAGGGUCAAAUGUGGGAUUUAACUUGGGUCGUGGGAGGUCUACAGGGACUAUUGUUAGACCUUCCUCUGGGGGGCAAUUGGUGCUUCACCAUUUGAAAAUUCUGUUGCUGGAAAUUCAAGCGUCUCGAGGUGAGGCUGAGACGGAUAGUGUCUAUUUCGGAAAACCAGUUCGGAUUUAUGCCCGGCCGCUCGACGAC